rfam:Helianthus annuus linkage group 17, whole genome shotgun sequence.
UAGUAGUGGUGAGGACAUUUUCGAAGAAUGUCCUUGAAACGUUCCUACGCCGGAUAUAGUGAUUUACCGUCUUCUUGGGUAAAUGUGGUAAUAUCAUUUCUUAACUU